rnacentral:rRNA from 1 species
UACGUAGGGGCAAGCGUUAUCCGGAUUUACUGGGUGUAAAGGGAGCGUAGGUGGCAAAGUAAGUCAGAUGUGAAAGCCCACGGCUCAACCGUGGAAGGUCAUUGGAAACUGGGUCACUUGAAUAUAGAAGAGGAAAGUGGAAUUCCAUGUGUAGCGGUGAAAUGCGUAGAUAUAUGGAGGAACACCGGUGGCGAAGGCAGGUCUCUGGGCCACUACUGACGCUGAGAAGCGAAAGCAUGGGGAGCGAACAGGAUUAGAUACCCCUGUAGU